ensembl:lncRNA
CUGAAGCAUUGCCACUAUUACAAUUGUGUAUACAAUAUUGGGGUGCAGUUUUGUUUUCAAAGGGAUAAAGCGAAUAGUUUUGUCUUAAAGUAUCAGAGUGUUCUAACAUGAAAUGAUCAUAAAGACAAGAGUAUUUACAGCAAAUUGCAGAAAGUUUGAAUGUAGUGAAUCUUAUUUGUCUUGGGCAAAUGAUCAUAAAAAAAGGAAUGAAAUACGUCAAAAUUUUGCAAAGUCGACUCAUUUUGAUGUGUUUAUUUAUAGCUUGUUAAUCCUUUACCGACAAAUAUUACCUUAAAGAUUAGAAUUUUUUCUCUACAUGAAAAUGACAAAUUAUCUUGACAGUAUUCCGUCAUCUCUAAGACAUAGAAAAUAUUACCUUCUGUACAAUGUACCCAGGUAGCAGAUGGUCUCUCUCACCAGAGUCACUUUCUGUGCUACGGAAAAACUUUUAUGUCCAUGAUCUGAAAAGAAAAAAGGAAGAAAUAACAAAAGUUCCCCACUCCUAAAAGAGCUAAGUUUCCUUCUAAUUGUUUCAUAUUCUAUGUUUAUUUAAAAUAAUGCCCUACCACUUUGAUACUGGUAGUCAAGUUAAUAUUCUCAGGACCUAGGAUCUUAUCUUAGUGAAAAGACCAAAGAUUUUUUGAUAAGUCUGUUGAUUUUGCCUUGUCAAGAUCAGACUCUGAACUUGUUAAACACAUGUGUAUUAAAUAUCUUUUACAUGUAGAAUUAGAUUUCAGCGGGUAUGCACACAGAUUUCUUCUUUUACUGUAUAUAAAGAGAGAUGCUAAAAGUAACUUAAUUUGGUUGAGGUAUACAUAUUUCUUCAUUACACCAACUAUCAUAAGAGUUGUAUGGGAAGAGUUUCUCAGAUCAAAAGAGAAGCUUAGCUUACCUCAGAUUAAUUUUAUGUAGGUAAAAUACAAUCAUUAGAAAAAUUUCAGCAAUUAUACAUUUUACAGAUUUGUCAAUCCCCUUGCUGUCCUUGGCAUGUUUUUCUCCUCAGGGGAAAUACUGAUUCUUAUAACCCAAUGAAGAAUUUCACUCUCCUCUGUUCUCACACUGUUGCUUACUCUAAUAAAUUAACCACAGCCAUUUGGACCUUUCAUCAACAGAUGCUUGAAAGUUUUCUUAUAAGCUACAGCUUUUACCAAGGAAGGAUAGUCUCAAUGCCUCAGUAAAAAGGACCUUCCAGGUGCUUUCAACUACUGAUAUUUCAAGAAAUAAACUCAUGGGAACAGGCUUUGAAGCUGGAGCAGGUAUCACUUAGAAAACUCUCAGAUUGUCCACCGGAAUUAAGUCAAGAUUCCCAGGAGCCUUUUUCAUUCAGAAGCAAACAACUUCACGAAAGCCAACUGCUGACCCGAAAACAAAGGAUCAAAAUAUAAUUUACACAAUACAGAACGAAUGGUGCUCACCAUUCCCCUCUACACGUCCAGAGCUUCAGGAACGAGUGACUUCAGGGGCCACGUGACAAACAUGCAAAGCAUCUAUCUACAAGGCAAGCUGGAAUGGUGGGGACAGUGACUGUGUGUCAGGCCUGAAAGUUUUAGAUUCAAGGACAAAACAAUCACUAACUGUCUGUGGGUUAUAUUUGAAUCUCAUCCACCUCUUUGUGAGGCCUCAGCUUGCACAGAAGAGCUUAAUUUCCUGAUUAGUAAAGGAAAAUUGUGAAUUAGAACCAUGUUACCCAGCAGGUCAAUGAGACAUUCUCAUUUCACCAAUGCCUGACUGAGUAUUUAUUGCAAAAUGAAGACUGUGUCACAAAGCAGAAAAUAAUUAACAUUUGUCUAGAGCUUAACAAGUUACAGAACAAUUUAUGCAUCAUCACAUUUAAUGUAAUAUAAUCAGAUUAUUUUACUUUUACUGCCAUUGUAUUGCUUUUAACUACUUCUACUAAUAGUGGAACUGCUACUGUUACUGCUACUAUCACUAUGAUUAUGACUACAACUACAGAAAGUUCCCUAUGUUCAUGUCAUAAUAUAGUCCUAAGACAUGUCAGAAAAUGGAAGUGGAAGUUAUAGGAAGGAAAUAAAUUUACUCAAAAUGUGUGAUGAACCUGCUAUCAUGACUCACUUUGUAGAUAUAAUCAUUGAUGCUAUUUAUCCACCAUUUAUAUAUCAGUCUUUAAUCCUGUCAUUUUCCUUCAAACUGAACUUGCAUCCAUCCAUUUUAGUCUGGUAUAUGUCCCAUGGAGGUUAAAGAGUCACCAUUUCAACCCAACUAAUCCUUCUAUCUGUGUCUCAGUUACAUUAUGUUUGAAACCAAUUCUUAUUUUCUUGUUAUCACUUUCUUAUUUAAAAAAAAGUGUUACAUGCAAAACACAAUAAAAUGUUCAGAAAAUUUCACAAACCCUACUAUACGAAAAGACGGUGAAAUACCCC